AUCAUAACACAUAACACAUCAUAACACACACAACAACUACAAUGACAUUCAUCAUCAUCUCCUUGAUCUUGGGAAUGUAUUUUCAAUGUUCUGCAGGGCAGGUGACUGUAAUUCAGACUCCCACAGUGAAACAAGUUCAGAACGGACAAACAGUCACUCUGACCUGUAAAACUAGCAGCACAAUUGGAACCCCUUCAGACGGUUGGUGUAAGUCUUGUCUCUCCUGGUACCUACAGAAACCUGGAGAAGCUCCUAAACUUUUAGUUCACAGCAUCAAAACCCUUCAUACUGGAACCCCAUCUAGAUUCAGUGGAAAUGGAGUCAAUCAUGGAACUGAUUUCACUCUGACCAUCAGUGGAGUCCAGACUGAAGAUACAGGAGAUUAUUACUGUCAUAGUAGACACUACAUUGAUGGUAAAAAUGUGUUCACACAGUGAUAAAGAGUCGUACAAAAACCUCCGUCAGUCAGAGUCACAGUGACUGCACUGAUACAGCUGAGAGAUUUUCAGCUGCUGAUGACUAUAACAAAAAAAACUAAAUCACAAAAUGUAUCAAACAUUUCAGAGACUAUUUAUUCAUGUAUAUGAUAUAAUUGUGAAGCAGAGUGAGGGUCUGAAUCUAUGUGCAGAAAUUUAUUAAAACAAGAAGAGAUUAGUCAAAACAAGGGUAAAACACAAGGCAAACAGGCAGAAAAUGAAACAACAUGCAUGGGCUGUGUAAAAAUAGUAAGAAAUCCAAGCAUGUACAGUGUGAAACAAACAAUACUUCACACUGAGUGAACACGCAGUCAGGAGUUAAAUGGGUCAGACUAAUUAAAUUGUUAUUUAGACUGAUAAUUAGACUCUGGUGGUGGAUUUAAGAGGUGUCAGAGGGUGUGACAAUAUAACUAAUAUAAUCAUAAUGUAUAUCACUUACAUUGUAGAGUAGAAAAAUAAAAUGUGUGUUGCUUGUUCAUCAAAACUUGCCUCCAAAAUGUUAACAAUUUUCAAAAAUUAGCAUUUUCUUUAGAAUAUU